rnacentral:rRNA from 1 species
CCUACGGGGGGCUGCAGUAGGGAAUCUUCCGCAAUGGGCGCAAGCCUGAUGGAGCAACACCGCGUGAGUGAAGAAGGUUUUCGGCUCGUAAAGCUCUGUUGUUGGAGAAGAACGUGCGUGAGAGUAACUGUUCACGCAGUGACGGUAUCCAACCAGAAAGUCACGGCUAACUACGUGCCAGCAGCCGCGGUAAUACGUAGGUGGCAAGCAUUAUCCGGAGUUAUUGGGCGUAAAGCGAGCGCAGGCGGUUGCUUAGGUCUGAUGUGAAAGCCCUCGGCUUAACCGAAGAAGGGCAUCGGAAACCGGGAGACUUGAGUGCAGAAGAGGACAGUGGAACUCCAUGUGUAGCGGUGGAAUGCGCAGAGAUAUGGAAGAACACCAGUGGCGAAGGCGGCUGUCUGGUCUGUAACUGACGCUGAGGCUCGAAAGCAUGGGUAGCGAACAGGAUUAGAUACCCGGGUAGUC